rnacentral:rRNA from 1 species
UACGUAGGGGGCGAGCGUUGUCCGGAUUCAUUGGGCGUAAAGCGCGCGUAGGCGGCUCGGAAAGUCGGUCGUGAAAUGCCGGGGCUCAACCCCGGGACUGCGUCCGAUACUUCCGGGCUGGAGGUAGGUAGGGGAGAUCGGAAUUCCUGGUGUAGCGGUGAAAUGCGCAGAUAUCAGGAGGAACACCGGUGGCGAAGGCGGAUCGCUGGGACGUACCUGACGCUGAGGCGCGAAAGCUAGGGGAGCGAACAGG